AUAGAAGAUAAUAGGUCAUCAGGAGAUCACUACGUACAGCUGUACAUGAAAAUCAAGCGAAGAAACUAUUUCUCCAGAAUUUUCAAAGCUUUUGUGAUUUUAAUUCUUAUCCCAAAGAUCGUAUAUGCUUAAUUUUGAAAACUGAACAUUUUAGAAAAGUAAUAGCAUUUCUUUGCUUCCUAAAUUUAAAAAUUGCUAUGCUUGGA